rnacentral:lncRNA from 1 species
UUUUCUCUGACAAUCAUAUAACUAUUGUUUCUUCCCAUGUCCAUCCAUUUCUUCAUUGUUUCCAGACUUAACAAUCAAGUGCUACAUGGAUCCCACUACACUCCAAGAUUCCUUACAACUACUGGAUUCAAGUCUUGAAAAUCUUAAUGAAAUUCUGAUAUUAGGCCUUUCUUCAUCAUUUCCAAGCUCAACAAUGAAACACUUCAUGGAUCACAGUACCCUCGAAAGCUCCUUCCACCUACUAAGCUCAAGCCUUGAAAAUCUGGGAAAAAUGUUGAUGUCAGGUAAGGGGCUUGCUAAAUGGAACCC